CCUACGGGUGGCAGCAGUGAGGAAUAUUGGUCAAUGGACGAGAGUCUGAACCAGCCAAGUAGCGUGAAGGAUGACUGCCCUAUGGGUUGUAAACUUCUUUUAUAUGGGAAUAAAACGUUCCACGUGUGGGAUUUUGUAUGUACCAUAUGAAUAAGGAUCGGCUAACUCCGUGCCAGCAGCCGCGGUAAUACGGAGGAUCCGAGCGUUAUCCGGAUUUAUUGGGUUUAAAGGGAGCGUAGGUGGGUUGUUAAGUCAGUUGUGAAAGUUUGCGGCUCAACCGUAAAAUUGCAGUUGAUACUGGCAGUCUUGAGUACAGUAGAGGUGGGCGGAAUUCGUGGUGUAGCGGUGAAAUGCUUAGAUAUCACGAAGAACUCCGAUUGCGAAGGCAGUUCACUGGACUGCAACUGACACUGAUGCUCGAAAGUGUGGGUAUCAAACAGGAUUAGAUACCCUAGUAGUC
rnacentral:rRNA from 1 species